CUGCAGUAACUGUCAAUGCGACCGCAAGCUUCAUAUCUGCCAAUGGGUGCUCAUAAUGACACAGGACCAUCACAUAAACUGCUGGAGGAUUACUCUUGUGACUAAAAUCAGUUUAUGGCAAAAAACAUUUAUUCUUCAUUUUGAUAAGCUUUUAACAAACGAAAAUGUGCUUUCUUCGAUUUUUGCCAAGACAAGGCCAUGUUU